CCCCUAGUAACUGCGAGUGAAGCGGGAAAAGCUCAAAUUUAAAAUCUGGCGGUCUUUGGCCGUCCGAGUUGUAGUCUGGAGAAGUGCUUUCCGCGCUGGACCGUGUACAAGUCUCUUGGAACAGAGCGUCAUAGAGGGUGAGAAUCCCGUCUUUGACACGGACUACCAGUGCUUUGUGAUGCGCUCUCAAAGAGUCGAGUUGUUUGGGAAUGCAGCUCAAAAUGGGUGGUGAAUUCCAUCUAAAGCUAAAUAUUGGCGAGAGACCGAUAGCGAACAAGUACCGUGAGGGAAAGAUGAAAAGCACUUUGGAAAGAGAGUUAAACAGUACGUGAAAUUGCUGAAAGGGAAACGCUUGAAGUCAGUCGCGUCGACCGGAACUCAGCCUUGCUUCGGCUUGGUGCAUUUUCCGGCUGACGGGCCAGCAUCGAUUUUGACCGUUGGAAAAGGGCUGGAGGAAUGUGGCACCUUCGGGUGUGUUAUAGCCUUCAGUCGCAUACAACGGUUGGGAUCGAGGAACGCAGCGCGCCUUAUGGCUGGGGUUCGCCCACAUUCGCGCUUAGGAUGCUGGCAUAAUGGCUUUAAACGACCCGUCUUGAAACACGGACCAAGGAGUCUAACAUACCUGCGAGUGUUUGGGUGGAAAACCCGAGCGCGUAAUGAAAGUGAAAGUUGAGACCUCUGUCGUGGAGGGCAUCGACGCCCGGACCUGACGUUCUCUGACGGAUCCGCGGUAGAGCAUGUAUGUUGGGACCCGAAAGAUGGUGAACUAUGCCUGAAUAGGGUGAAGCCAGAGGAAACUCUGGUGGAGGCUCGUAGCGAUUCUGACGUGCAAAUCGAUCGUCAAAUUUGGGUAUAGGGGCGAAAGAC
rnacentral:rRNA from 1 species